ensembl:lncRNA
GCUUAAUUGUACCUUGCCUGAAGCAUAACUCUUUGUCCUGUCUUGUGUAACCAUGGAAGUUUUGUAAUCUUGGGGCUUCCAGCCCUACAAUUUUCCCUUAUAAAAAUACCCCUCAGUCGAAAGUGGGUACUCCAUUUGUUCUGGAACUAAUGGGGUCCUUGCUGCAGCUCAUAUCCUCGAGUCAAUAAAGAAACCUUUGUCCUUGCAUUCGCCACUUUCACCUGCCUGCCUUCUUGAUACAGAGCCUAAGUGUGCAGUUGUUCGACAGGCAGCAUGGCGGUGACAUGGUGGCAAGUCCCAUCUUUCCUGAGCAGAUGAAUCACCUAAGCUGAGCAUGUGGAUCUCACCCCUGUAUGCCAUGACUGACAUAGGAAAGGAUCCAUAACACGGUAACACCCAGUGAGACCUACAAGAGUAAGAGGCUUCAGGAAAAGGUUAAACAUCCAACCUUUCCACACCUAGGAGACUACUUAAGCCACGGUGUCUGAAGCUGUCAAGGGUCACACUAUGGCUGCAGAAUAGAGAGACAAAAGUGCCGGGUCUGAGAAAGUAUGGAUCCAUUUAACCAAACUUGAGCCUGUCUCUACUUCCUGUUUUCCUGGCAAAAACUUCUACAAGAGUAUGGCUAAUUGUUGUUUUUAUUGUUUGCACCAGGACUUAUCCUAACCAGUCUUACUGGCUGCUGCCUGGUAAUGGAAUGACUUCAAGGAUAUGUUCUUGUUCCAUUUUAUUUUUAAGAUCAGUUCAGAGACAGGUGUGAUGGUGCACACCUGUAAUCCAACUUCUUAGGAGGCUGAAGCAGGAGGAGCUUGAGUUUAAGGGCAGGGUGGAUUAUGUAACAAGAAUGAUGUCAGCCCGGGCUGUACAGUAAUACCCUGUCUCAAAAUAACAGCAACAGCAAUGCAGUCUGUCCAGGAGAUACUCUACAUCCUCCUGUAAGAAUGAAUCAUUCUUGCUGUGUUGUGGGUGAUCCAGAGAAAACAAGUUAUGGGAGGUGAGUUGGAGUGGAUAAACUACAAGGCUGUGCAAACAAUGAGCUUCUUUAAUACCACAGUAGGUAUAAUCUUUAUGAGCAUCACAUUUGCUAGGAUUCAAGUAGCCACUCCACCAUUACUAGCUGUGUGACCUUGAAAUAAUACUUCAGCUUCUGUUUCCUCACUGGUAGUAUUGAGGUUAUUUGAAUAAGAAGUGAAUGAGCAUAAAGUAUCUCAUGCAAAUUAAAGCCUUGUUAUAUAUUUGUAAUAAUCCUGUGUAACCAUUGUAUUUCCUUUGCUAUCAGGUGACCGUUACCUAUUUAAAGUGGAAACUAUCAAGGAGAAGUGAUCCAUCAGUCACAAAUUUAGUGACAAACAGAAACACUUGACCUAGUACACAGAAGAGAGAUUUAUUAGGGGCUAGUUGAAAAGUCAUAAAAUGACUGAGAGGGUGAAAGGUUAUGCUUCCAGGAGUAAGACUUAAUCACACUGCAGAAAUACCUGGUGGAGACACAGUGUCUGCACAGACAGGCAAAGUCACCAGCUCCAUGAAUGGACAUAGGGUCUUGUGGUCAUCUUUAAUGCCUCUGUCUCAGGUACCUCUAGGAAUGGGUAACCCAUGACCACCAUUGACAGACUGGGCUUCAUGGAAACCCUUCUUGAUGUCAUUAAUCUCCAAAUAAAUCCUAGUAUCUACUGAAUGGAGCCCUGUGUCUGGAUCUUAGCUGCAAGGGAAGAUGGAAAAGCCUUUCUCCUGGGUUUGAUGAGCCUAAGAGACACAGAAAUCUCUGAGCUGGGUUAAGUGUGUAAAUUAAAUUAAUGUCUGUAUUUUUGUUUGGGGUGUUUUGGUUUUUAUUUAUUUAUUUAUUUGUUCAUUUUGUUUUUGAUACAGGGUCUCACUCUGUAGUCCAGGCUAGCUUGGAACUCACUCUGUAGCCUAGAUUGGCAUAAAAUUCAGAGCAAUGCUCUUGCCUUGACCACCUGAGUGCUGGGAAUUACAGAGGAGAAAACACCUUAGAGGCUCAGUGGCUUGCUCAAGGCAACAGUUCUACAAGGGAAAGAGAGCUUACACUCAGAUCCUGGUGUUCUGGCCUACAGCUCUCCCUGAUCUGCAACCUUGCUUUCUCUCCCACCCUCUUCCUCACCCUCUGCCUGACCCUGGGCAUCUGCUCUACAGCCAACUGGCUUCCCUUCAAGGAAUUUUCCAGGGACACAUCUGCUGCUCAGCUGCAAUAUCCCUGGGGUCAUCUGCCUGCCGUUGUUUUCAGUCUGUGCUGUGAAGGACUGAGCUUGCCUCCUAAUGGCUGUUUCCCUUCAGAAUCUAGAAAGAAAGCUCCUGUAGGUAGAGAUGGGUAUAAGGGAAGGAAGUGGGAGAAUCCAGACCCAGAAAAAACUGAACCCUAUGUCCAUUUGUGCUUUCUUCAAAAGUGAUUCGCUGCCUGGGCUCAUCUGGCCCCAGCUCCAACACUGUCUUUACAGCUAAAUGUCAGAGUGUUGAGAUUUUGUGAUAGAGUUUUCCCCAGAAUAGAUCUCCAAUUCCUUUCUGAGGUGAGAAGAUUCAGUCUGCAACUACCGCGGCCCACCAAGCGCUAACACGUGUUGAGCCUGCAUGGAAGCUAUCAAAGACUAAAGACAGGUAGUUUGGACUGUGGACAAGCAAGUGCCUUCUCUCUAGGCCACAGCUUCCUCCUCUGUAAUGUUGAAAUAUCAAGAAUCAUCUAACAGGGUUGCUCUAGGCACCCAGUGAGAGAAUGGCUGUCUGAGUGCUGGACAAACCCCCUGCCAUGAAAGCAGGAGAGGGGCUGACACACUCCAGCUCGUUGGCCCAUUGGAAUCACUCAGGGCAUGCAGUGGAGUGAGAACACAAGGAAGAGAAUAAGACAAUGUGAGACACAGGUUGAUACUGAAGAAGAGAAUCUUUGCUUGGGGCAGGUGGCUCCAACUCAGAGGACAUUUUUACAAAAUCCUUCCAAGCCUCACUUACCGCGGAAGACAGAGGAACCACAUAACAAUGCUGUAAGACAGCUGUGGGCAGGUGUGAGCAGGAAGAAGUAACAAAGCUGACUUCAUAUUUUAAGUCCAUAGCCGAAGCUCAGCAUUGUCAUUAAAAAGGCACAGCUGAGAAGACACCUGGAGCAGUGACAAGUACCUGUGCCAACACAGGGUACAAUGGGUGCAUGUUCAGAACUGUUAAACAUGAACAUUAUUAUUAAGAGUCACUUAAACUCAACUAAGUCAUACUAAAAUCCAUCACUUCCUAAUUAUUUUUACUUUCUGUGUGUUGUGUGUGUGAGUAUACGAAUCAUGUGUGUGCAGGUGUCCACAGAGGUCAGAAGAGGGCAUUGGAUCCCCUUUAACCACACUGUGUCAUCUCUCCAGCCACCAAAGCAAGUCUGAAUCCUUUUUUGCCUAUUUUGCUACCACAUGUGCUUUCGAAGUUCCUUCCACCUGUUAUAUCCGUGAGAUGGAAAUACAGCUGCGUGCUGCUGCACUCCAAAUCCAUACUCAAUGGUAUCACAUCUUGAAAUCAUCCAGAGUAUUUCUAUUGUAGAAAUGGGAAAGCCUGUAAUUCCUCAUCUCCCUGCCCUAGAGAGCUGGUUAUUAAAUAUUUACCAGAGCAGCACUGACAAAGAGCCUCCCCACUGUUAGAAUGCCUCCAGUGGAUUGGGUUUUAUGAAACACCAAGUUGUGCUGCUGAACACUUAGGUUAUAUUUCUUGUGUUGCUUAAAUGUCUUCCCACCACUAUGUAGUAAGACUGCUGUGAGGCAUCUCAUGAGGGCUAAUAUCCCAAGGAGUGUUGAAAAGGCUUAUGUCUACAGCGACUCAGACACUGUGAGGGUUUCAUGAAGCAUGUUGCUGGAGGG